rnacentral:lncRNA from 1 species
UUGUUACCACCAUGGCAUAAUAAUACACUGAGGGCGUGUUUAGUUCACUUCUUUUUCACCCUGAAAUCGGAAUCAGAAUGGGCGAAUUCGUUUGUGCGAGUUUGAUACGCGGGAGUCCAUUCCGAUUCCGGUUUCCGAGUGAAAUGGGAAUUCCCUAAUCACCUCUUUUUUCAAUCCGGCCUAGGAGGCCGGAUUGGAAGUUGAAUCCGAACGGAAUGGAUAUUUAUUCAGAUUAAAUUUAUUUUUUCAACUUUUUUAAUUAAGAUAUGAGUUAAAAUUGAAAAAUUAAAUAUAUAAUUUUAAAUUUUAAUUUGACUUAAAUUAAAAAUUAAAAUUUAAUCAAGUAUUUCGAAUCUAACUUAUGAAUUUAAAUUUAAAUUAAAUUUUAAUUUAUAUAAAGUUUUAAUCAAAUUUUAUUUCAAACUUAAAUUAAAUUUAUGGAUUCAAAUUAAAAUUUAAAUUGUAAUUUUAAGUUUGAAUNUUUAAUUUUUAAUUUGAAUUUAAAUUAAUAUAUUAUAAAGAUAAUGUUAGUAUAUUAAUUUGAUUAUAUUUUUUAUAUCCACCUGAAUCAAACACCGAUAAUGGAAAUGAUUUAUUUCGAUUCUGAUUCAGGUGAUAAACCAAACAGAAUUAGGUAAUGAGUCAUUCCGAUUCCGAUUCCAACUUAUUUUGAUUCCGAUUCCAGCUUAUUUCGACUCCGACUUCAAUCCAAACACGGCUUGAAACUCCUCUCUCUUUACUACUAAGGGAUAUCCAAAGAAUAUAUUAUUGUACAGUAACACACCGUUUGGAUGGGGUAUAAGGAGAGAAUAAAAGCUUAUUCCCUCCCUUAAAGAAAGAAAUUUAGUGGAACCGUAGUUCCCACUUCCCACUUCCCACCUUAAUAGGAACAAUUGUUUCCGCCCCUUAGAUGGAAUUGUUUAUGGAACAAGCUUGAGAGAGAUAGAAAGAGAGAGAAUUUUAAAUUUAUUACAAAAUUUAUAAUUUAUAAUUUCAAAAUUAAAAUUUAUAAUUUUUAAAUUUUAAAUUUGAGAUUUUAAAUUUUAAAAAUUUUCAAAUUCUAAAUUUGAUAUUUUAUAUUUUUCAAAAUUUAAAUUCGAUGCUAAAUCUAAAAUCAAAGUUUACAAUUUGAGAUUUUAAAUUUUAUAUUUUAAAUUUAAAUUUUAAAAUUUAAAAAUUAAAAAUUAAAAUUUAAAAAUUUAAGUAUGAAAUUUAAAAAUUGUAAUGAGAGAAAUAAUAUCAUUAUUUUUUAUUUAUAACUACCCAUUAUUCUUUUUAUUCUAUCUUAUCUGUUCAAAUGCUAUUUUUCUGAUUUCCGGAAACAACUCAAUUUCAUCCAAACGCAAAAUUAAUUUUUGCUUAUACCACUAUUCUUUUUAUUCUAUCUUAUCUGUUCAAAUGCUAUUUUUCUGAUUUCCGGAAACAACUCAAUUUCAUCCAAACGCAAAAUUAAUUUUUGCUUAUACCACUAUUCUUUUUAUUCUAUCUUAUCUGUUCAAACGCUAUUUUUCUUAUUUUCGGAAACAACUCAAUUUUAAUCCAAACACAAAAUUAGUCUAGUUUUUGCUUAUACCUGAACUUAUACCUAUCUCUGGAAUAAGCAAUUCUAAUUUAUACCCAAACCAAACGAAGCCUAAAGAGUUCUAAUUAUCUAGGAAAGAAGCCACCUCUCCUAGGCAUCCAAACAAUAUGUAACGCAAGCUUAAGCCGCGCUGAGAGUAAAGAAGCAUAAGGACGGAGAGAGAUGCAAACUAAAGCUGCCGAGAGUAAAGAAGCAUAAGGACAAAGAGAAUUGCAAUCUUAAGUUGCACUGAGGGCUUGUUUGGUUCAAGGGUGGAAUUGAAAUGGAUAAUAGAAUGGGAAUGAAUUGGAAUGGUACUUGGAAUGACCCACUCUCCCAAGACGUUUGGUUUAUUUGUGGAUUGGGAAUUGGAAUGAGUUAUUCACAUUUCAUUAUUUGAUUCGUAUAAAUUAAAAAAUUAUAAGAUACUAUAAUACUAAUUUUACUCUCAAAUAUAAAUUUAUAUUAUUUAAAAUUUAUGAAAAAUAUAAUACUAUUCUCUAAUAAGUUUUUCAAAAAAAAUAUCAAAUUUAUUUUUAAAAACUUUUAUUGAUGUGGGUUAGGGAUAGGGUUUUGAGAGAGGAUAGUUUUUUUUUUUUUGUUUGAUAGAAAAGGGGGAAGGGUAGGAAGGUGACCGAGCUCGAGCGAGCUUUAGUGGGCUUCCAUAAUGAAAUCUCAAUCCGGACUAGAAGACCGGAAUCAAGUUGAAGGCUAAUGGGCCAUUUCCAUUCCAGUCCGGAAUAGGAAUCCCAAAUCGAUUCAUGCGAACCAAAUAAAAUUAACCGGAUUUGAUCAAACCGAUUCCCAUUCCAUAUUCAAAAUGGAUGAACCAAACAAGCCUGAGAGUGAAGAAACAUAAGAACGGUGAGA